CCGUAGCUCAGCUGGAUAGAGUACCUGGCUACGAACCAGGCGGUCGCACGUUCGAAUCGU
rnacentral:tRNA from 1 species